rnacentral:ncRNA from 1 species
UUUCCUCCUAGGAUAGCUGGUGCAUGGAGAAACAGUUAUACUCGGUAAAGCGAAUGAUUAGAGGAGUUGGGAACGAAAUGAUCUUAAACUAUUCUCAAACUUUUAAUGAGUAAGAUGUUACGCUUGCAUCAUUGGAAGCGAUAACAUAGAAUGCGUGCACCAAGUGGGCCGCCUUUUGGUAAGCAGAACCGGCGCUGUGGGAUGAACCA